rnacentral:lncRNA from 1 species
UUUAGAGCUGUGAAAAUUUGGGUUGGAUAAAGCUAAGUAAUUUGCUCAAGGUCACAUAGCUGGCAAAAAACAAUGCUAAGUUUUGAACCAAGGCUGUAUCUUUACUUAAGAUUUAAAUUUUAAGAUUAUACUGUUCUCCUUGUUUAACUUUUUAACUUACUUUUCUUGUGAUAUUAGCACAUAUAAAGUAGUAUUUUCUAAAAACUCCUCCCAAUUAUUUUUUUCCUCAUGGGAUUUAUGAUAAUGCUUAUGAAUCAAUUGUUGGUCACUUACAUUACUCUCUAGGGGGUGCUCUGUGCAUUCUUUCUUACAUCAUUCCAAAGGAGGAAUGUUAACAUGAGUCAAGGAUGUAAUGGAAUCCUCACAGAUCCACAAUUGGGCCACUGUGCUAAGAGGAGGAGCAAAUAGGGCAAUGUUUGGAGAAGCAAAUAGGGCAACAUUUUCUUCAUAGUACUGUGUAUUUGCUUGGAGAGGGCUCGGAGGCAUUACAGAACCGGAAUAUGAUAUGGGAUAAAUGAGGCAGACAGGAUAGUCUAGCUUUGCCCUAUGUCUAGGGAAUGUGGCUCUCUUGUCCUUGGGCUUUGUCUUCUUACCUCCUCUCAAAACCUGAUAAAAUACAGAGAACAGGAUCAGGAUGUGACCUAGAGGAAAGGCACCAGGGGCAGGUAUGACAUUCUUUAGUGUCACUCUGCUUGGCUGAUUGUAGGUUCUCCAGGAAAAUUUGCCAAAUAGAAUAAUGAAAUGAUGAACUAAUUGUUCUGACAAUUCAGGUGAACAGGAGUUUAGUGACACUUAGUGUUUUACUUCUACAUCUAUGUGUUCAAAGUACUCUUCUUUUUCUUGAUAAUGAAUCUAGAAGCUGGGAUGGAUAAUAAAAUUUCUAAUUUUUUAUAGGUUUUUCAGAAAUGUUGGUUCUUAAUGGAAGAAGAAUCAGUCAUUGCGAUUAUUCUUGUGGUAGGAUGCCAUACCACCAGUGUAGACCUCCUGCACUCAGGCUCAGAUAUUUCUGCAAGAAUAGAGGAGCAGAAAGAAAUACUAUAAUGAAGGCCAAAGUGGAGUAUAAACAAAAUGGAGGGAUUAUUUGUUAAGCCUUUGAGAAUAUGCUGAAGGAAUAACAACUUUAUUGUAACUGCUGCGUGACAACAUGGAGAGAUGCGUCCUGAUGUCAAUGAUGAUAAAGCAUCAAAAAGUGUGCAUCUUAGAAUGAACAAAUUCUAAGUUAGUUAUGAUUGUUGGGGCUAACACAUUUUCAAUAUGUAUUUUUUUUCAAUGCAUGAAGCUAAAAUGAGAAAUAAUUAUAACACUUCACACUUGUUUACAACUUUACAGCCUCCAAAGCAUUUCCCUACACAUUAUCUGAUUAAAAUUUCAGCCUAGAACCAACACUAGCAACAGCAUCGUUAUCUCUGGUGGUAGAUGACAUUUUUAAAACCAUGUCAAUGAUGUUAUUCUGCAAGUUUGUAUUUACACACUUCUUCAUUUCAUUUACUAGUUGUGGCAGACUGCAUGUCCACCAAAAUCCAUUCUCCCUUUUUUCCUGGUACAACUGGGCUGUAUUUUCCAGGCUCCCUGAAGAGUUAUGGCUGUGUGACUGAGUUCUAGUCAAUGGAAUGUGAACAUACAAGGUAUAUACUACUUUCAGGCCUGGCCCAUACAAUUAUUCAGUACAUGCUCUCCCCUCCAUUUAAACAUUGGAGACAUUUUACUGGGAGACAAAUGUGAAGAUGGUAUAGCCUCCAUCACUCUAGGUCUUUAAAUGGCUUUGUAGUUCCUGUUAUCCCCACCCUAAGCAGUUACAUAAAAAAGUAAUAAACAUUGUUCUUUAAGCCAUUGAAUUCUGAAAUUUAUGUGUCAUCAUGUCUUAGCUUGCUUUUUUAAUUAAAAAAUUUUUAAACUUUUAUUUUAAGUUCAGGAGUACAUAUGCAGGUUUGUUAUGUAGGUAGAUUGCAUGUCAUGGGGGUUUGGAGUACAGAUCAUUUCAUCACCCAGGUAGUAAGCAUAAUUUCCAAUAUGUAGUUUAUUGAUCCUCACCCUCCUCCCACCUUCCACCCUCAAUUAGGCCCUGAUGUCUAUUGUUCUCUUCUUUGUGUCUAUGUGUACUCAAUGUUUAGCUCCCACUUAUAAGUGACAACAUGCAGGAUUUGGUUUUCUGUUUCUGUGUUAGUUUGCUUAGGUGAAUGACUUCCAGCUCCAUCAUGUUGCUGCAAAGGACACAAUCUCAUUCUUUACUAUGGCUGUGUGGUAUUCUAUGGUGUACAUGUACCACAUUUUCUUUAUCCAGUCUACCAUUAAUGGACAUUUAGUUGAUUCCAUGUCUUUGCUAUUGUGAAUAGUGCUGCAAUGAACACACAUGUGCAUGUGUCUUUAUGGCAGAAUGAUUUACAUUCUUCUGGGUAUACACUCGGUAAAGGGAUUGCUGGGUCAAGUGGUAUUUCUCUUUUAAGUUCUUUGAGAAAUCUCCAAGCUGCUUUCCACGAUGACUGAACUAAUUUACAUUCCCACCAGCAGUGUAUGUGUUCCCUUUUCUCCGCAAACUUGCAGGCAUCUGUUAUUUUUUUGACCUUUUAAUAACAGCAAUUAUGACUGGUGUAAGAUGGUAUCUCAUUGUGAUUUGCAUUUCUGUAACUACUAGUGACAUUGAGCAUCUUUUUAUAUGCUUGUUGGCUGCUUGUAAGUCUUCUCUUGAAAAGUAUCUGUUCAUGUGCUUUGCCCACUUUUUAAUGAGUUGUUGGUUUUUUGCUUGUUAAUUUGUUUAAGCUCCUUAUAGAUUCUAUACAUUAGAUAUUUGUUGAAUGCACAGUUUGCAAAUAUUUUCUCCCAUUCUGUAGAUUGUCUAUUUACUCUGUUGGUUGUUGCUUUUGUUGUGCAGAAGCUCUGUAGUUCAAUUAGGUCCAAUUUGUCAAUUUGUGUUUUUGUUGUAAUAAAAUCUUUACCAGAGCCUAUGUCCUGUCUUAGCUUACUUUAACAAAUACAAUAGAUCGAGUUGCAUGUUUUCC